UACGUAGGGUGCAAGCGUUAAUCGGAAUUACUGGGCGUAAAGGGUGCGCAGGCGGAUAUUUAAGUUAGGAGUGAAAUACCCGGGCUCAACCUGGGAAUGGCUCUUAAGACUGAGUAUCUAGAGUUUGUUAGAGGGGGGUGGAAUUCCAAGUGUAGCAGUGAAAUGCGUAGAGAUUUGGAGGAACACCGAUGGCGAAGGCAGCCCCCUGGGAUAAAACUGACGCUCAAGCACGAAAGCGUGGGUAGCAAACAGG
rnacentral:rRNA from 1 species